rnacentral:lncRNA from 1 species
AGAAGUGAGGAGACCCUCUGCCUGGCAACCACCCCGUCUGAGAAGUGAGGAGCCCCUCCGCCCGGCAGCUGCCCCGUCUGAGAAGUGAGGAGCCUCUCCGCCCGGCAGCCACCCCAUCUGGGAACCCAUAUUUGGUUCUCAUGAAAACAGAAGCUCCGUGGAGAAAGCGAAGAAAGUCCUUGAAAGUCGCCUGUUCAAAGCCGCCACUGCCGUGAUGCCCCCUGACUCCGCACCCCGCCGCCGUGACGCC